AAAAAAAUCUAUUUAUUAAAGUAAUACAUUAAAUAAAAAAAAUUAUUAUAGUUUAUAUAAUUUAUUAAAAAUUUAUUUUACAUAUAAAUUUUGGUAAUUAAUUUAUUUAAAUAAUAAUUUAAUUUAAAAUGUAGUAAUUAAUAUUAAAUAUUUAAGAAAUUAAGAUUUAGUAAUAUAAAAAUUAAUAACAAAUUUUGUGCCAGCAGUUGCGGUUAUACAAAAAUUAAAUUAAAUUUUAUUAGUAAAUUAAAUAAUAUAUUUAAAAUUAUAAAUAAAAAAUUAAAUUAUUAAGUGAAAUUUUAAUUUAAUAAAAUAUUAUAUAAAUUUUAUGUUUUAAUAAUUUUUUUUUAAGACUAGGAUUAGAUACCCUAUUAUGGAAAAUUUAAAUUUAAAAUACUAAAAUAGUAUGUAAUAAAUAUUGAAACUUAAAUAAUUUGGCGGUAUUUUAGUUCAUUUAGAGGAAUCUGUUUAAUAAUUGAUAAUCCACGAAUAAAUUUACUUAAUUUAUAAUUUUGUAUAUCGUUGUUAAAAAAAUAUUUUUUAAUAAAAUUAAUAUUUAAAAAUUAAUAAUAAAUUUAAAUCAGAUCAAGAUGCAGAUUAUAAUUAAGAAUAUAAUGGAUUACAAUAAAUUUAUUUAAAUGAAUAUUAAUAUGAAAUUUUUAAUUGAAAGUGGAUUUAAAUGUAAUUUUAUUUAAUUUAUUAAAAUGAUUAAAAAUUAAAAUAUGUACAUAUUGCCCGUCGCUUUCAUAUGAAAAUAUAAAAUUGAAAUAAGUCGUAACAAAGUAGAGGUACUGGAAAGUGUUUCUAGAAAGUC
rnacentral:ncRNA from 1 species